CCUACGGGAGGCAGCAGUGAGGAAUAUUGGUCAAUGGGCGCGAGCCUGAACCAGCCAAGUAGCGUGAAGGAUGACUGCCCUACGGGUUGUAAACUUCUUUUAUAAAGGAAUAAAGUGAGGCACGUGUGCCUUUUUGUAUGUACCUUAUGAAUAAGGAUCGGCUAACUCCGUGCCAGCAGCCGCGGUAAUACGGAGGAUCCGAGCGUUAUCCGGGUUUAUUGGGUUUAAAGGGAGCGUAGAUGGGUUGUUAAGUCAGUUGUGAAAGUUUGCGGCUCAACCGUAAAAUUGCAGUUGAAAGUGGUAGUCUUGAGUAGAGGAGAGGUGGGCGGAAUGCGUGGUGUAGCGGUGAAAUGCUUAGAGAUCACGAAGAACUCCGAUUGCGAAGGCAGUAUACUGGACUGCAACUGACACUGAGGCACGAAAGUGUGGGUAUAAAACAGGAUUAGAUACCCGAGUAGUC
rnacentral:rRNA from 1 species